rnacentral:rRNA from 1 species
AUUAGAUCUCAAAUCAGGUAGGACUACCCGCUGAACUUAAGCAUAUCAAUAAGCGGAGG